rnacentral:rRNA from 1 species
GAUGAACGCUGGCGGCGUGCCUAAUACAUGCAAGUCGAGCGAACAGACGAGGAGCUUGCUCCUCUGACGUUAGCGGCGGACGGGUGAGUAACACGUGGAUAACCUACCUAUAAGACUGGGAUAACUUCGGGAAACCGGAGCUAAUACCGGAUAAUAUAUUGAACCGCAUGGUUCAAUAGUGAAAGACGGUUUUGCUGUCACUUGUAGAUGGAUCCGCGCCGCAUUAGCUAGUUGGUAAGGUAACGGCUUACCAAGGCAACGUUGCGUAGCCGACCUGAGAGGGUGAUCGGCCACACUGGAACUGAGACACGGUCCAGACUCCUACGGGAGGCAGCAGUAGGGAAUCUUCCGCAAUGGGCGAAAGCCUGACGGAGCAACGCCGCGUGAGUGAUGAAGGUCUUCGGAUCGUAAAACUCUGUUAUUAGGGAAGAACAAAUGUGUAAGUAACUAUGCACGUCUUGACGGUACCUAAUCAGAAAGCCACGGCUAACUACGUG